UAUACACUCUGAAUAGGGGUCAAACUCAUCCACAACGAAGAGGAAAGAAUCCAUUGAUGACUAGUGAUAUAGUUAAUAAUAGGGCAGUUGGAUUUGACACGCAGGCCUUAUAACACCCUUAUAAGCAUGGUUUGAUACAUGCAUAGCUUUCUCAUAGUGCAGUUCAGGUUAGAAUGGAGAAGAAAACAUGUUGUAUGACAAAGGGUACUGAGCUAAAGGGUAGAGCUGCCGCUUUCAAGGAGUGGGACUCGAACUCGGAAGCUUAUAAGAAAUCCCACUAUGCCUUCCAACUGGUCAAAGGUCAAAUGGUCAAAGUCUCCAGUCACCCUGUUAAUAAUAGACUGUUCUCUUUGCUACCGCACGGCAAGCUGUACCGGAGCGCCAAGUCUAGGUCCAAAAGGUUUCUUAACAGCUUCUAACCCCAAGCCAUGAGACUCCUGAACAGCUAAUCAAAUGGCUGCCCAGAACCCUCUUUUACGCUGCUGCUACUCUCUAUUUAUUAUCUAUGCAUAGUCACUUUAACUAUACCUACAUAUACAUAUUAACUCAAUUACCUCAACUAACCGGUACCCCCGCACAUUGACCCUGUAUAUAGCCUCGCUAUUGUUAUUUUACUGUUACUAUUCAUCAAGCAUUGCUCACUCUAUAGACCAAAAAAUGGCAACCUCUAGUCAAACUGUUAUCAUAACGUCCUGGAGGGUAGUCAAACUGUUAUCAUAACGUCCUGGAGGGUAGUCAAACUGUUAUCAUAACCCCCUGAGUGUAGUCAAACGUUAUCAUAACCCCCCUGAGUGUAGUCAAACUGUUAUCAUGACCCCCUGAAAUGUAGUCAAACUGUUAUCAUAACCCCCCUGAGUGUAGUCAAACUGUUAUCAUAACCCCCCUGGAGGGUAGUCACUGUUAUCAUAAACCCCUGGAGGGUAGUCAAACUGUUAUCAUAACCCCCCUGAGUGUAGUCAAACUGUUAUCAUAAACCCCUGAAAUGUAGUCAAACUGUUAUCAUAACCCCCUGGAGGGUAGUCAAACUGUUAUCAUAACCCCCUGGAGGGUAGUCAAACUGUUAUCAUAACCCCCUGAAAUGUAGUCAAACUGUUAUCAUAACCCCCCUGAAAUGUAGUCAAACGUUAUCAUAACCCCCCUGAGUGUAGUCAAACUGUUAUCAUAACCCCCUGAGUGUAGUCAAACUGUUAUCAUAACCCCCUGGAGUGUAGUCACUGUUAUCA
rnacentral:lncRNA from 1 species